rnacentral:misc_RNA from 1 species
CAUGAAAACUUUCCCUUUCCUAACGCUUUUCGUCGAUGGCGCUUUUCGUCGAUGGCACUUUCCCUCGUACAUGCAAUCGUCAGUACAAAGGUACUUCCUCAAUCCAUAUGGCGUGUUUUUGGAGAAUGACCCGAUGUACAUAUCACUAUUGGGGAGAAGCUUCUCUAUAGCAGUGGACCCUUCCGCUUUAUUAGCGCCAAUAAAACAGACCCAGCAAACCAACACCUACAUAACAAAACAACCUUCCUCACUUUCAUCU